rnacentral:tRNA from 1 species
GGCAUGAUGGCCAAGUGGCAAGGCGUCAGUCUCGUAAACUGAAUAUCACGGGUUCAAUCCCUCUUCAUGCCU